UGCACUGAAGGCACACAGC
rnacentral:miRNA from 1 species